rnacentral:rRNA from 1 species
AGGGUGUAAAACGCUGCAGACUUGGUGUUGGAAGCCCUUUGGGGGCAUUCAGUGCCGGAGAGAAGUUGUUAAGUCUGCUACUUGGGGAGUACGUCCGCAAGGAUGAAACUUAAAGGAAUUGGCGGGGGAGCACCGCAACGGGAGGAGCGUGCGGUUUAAUUGGAUUCAACACCGUAAAACUCACCAGGGAAGACUGUUACAUGAAGGCCGAGAUGAAGACUCUGCUAGAUUUUUCAGAGAGGAGGUGCAUGGCGUCAGUGACU